CAGACACAAAUGAGAGUCUGGGGAUCUCCUGGAAGAGACAAGGGCAAUCACAGCCCCAUUCUUGGCCAGACACACUGGGAAAACACCUUCCCAACUCUGUGUGGUGAAGGAAGACUCAGGAGUGCUGCAGCCAAAAAUCGCUGGGAGAGUGGGGAGAGAGUUCUGGCCAUGCUGAGCAGUGACAUUCACACAGGUCUACAGUGCUCUGCCUCAAGAAAGACACAGGACAAGUCUGUUCUCUGCCUCUCUGAUGUGCCACAUGUGAAGAAAAGCUUUUCCACCUUAGGAUGAGAGCAGCUGGGCAUGUCCUUGGGCACAGCUGGUGAUGUUUGCCUGAAGAGUUAGGGGGGGAGACACCCCAGGAAGACAGGAUGGGUGGAGCACGGGAACCGAGGAGAGAUUCUCCAUAAAAAUACAUCAAACUAUUAAUGUUUAA